UACGUAGGGGGCAAGCGUUGUCCGGAAUCAUUGGGCGUAAAGCGCGUGUAGGCGGCUCGAUACGUCUGCUGUGAAAGUUCAGGGCUCAACCCUGAAAUGCCGGUGGAAACUGUCGAGCUAGAGUCCGGAAGAGGCGAGUGGAAUUCCUGGUGUAGCGGUGAAAUGCGCAGAUAUCAGGAGGAACACCAAUGGCGAAGGCAGCUCGCUGGGACGGUACUGACGCUGAGACGCGAAAGCGUGGGGAGCAAACAGG
rnacentral:rRNA from 1 species